UGCCUCUCUAGGAGGAGGCACUUCCAAGCUCUCUUCAGCACUGCUGGGAGUUGCAGUUCAAUCCUAUCUGGAGGAUCAGGGGUUCCCUACUCAAGAGCUACAAUCCUUCUUGAGAAGGGGUUACGAUGGUGCUGAGAAGGGAAGCUUGGCCAGUCAACAAAGACAGGGUGGCUUUGGAACUGGCCAGUCCCCCUGCUUCCCAGCUGAGCUGUUGCCGCCUUGGCCAUCCUCACUGUCUGUUUCCCCACUCCCCUCCUCAGGCUGGACUAUUGUGACGAAGCGGUGAAGGACCCUGAGCAGGACCUACCUGUUGACAUCCACCAGCCUCCGCCAUUCGUGCACAAGCUCCUGCAGCUGAGCGGUGUCCUGUUUUAUUAUGAGGAUUUCUCAGAGGGGAGUGGCUCUGCGCCAUCCCGUCCCAAAGGAGGAAGCGGACGCAUCUGCCUGCCGAGAACAGGAGGCCUCCUCCAGCCCUUUGCUUCAGAUCGGCAGCUGCUCCAGAUACACAGAGAUGAGAAUCAAGCUUGAAGCAGAAUGAGGCCUUUCCCGGACCCAAGGUCAGCCAGACAGAGAUUGCUGGUUCAUUUGCUAAGUUCUUUAUCAAGCUUUUUCUCCAAAGAGCUCCAAGCAGCUUGCCAUGUUCCUUGGCAGCAAGACUCUGCAAAGGGGGUUAAGCCACCUGGGUCACUUCCGGCAGUUUGAACCCAAGGCGUCUCAGUCUGUGUCUAACCUGCUAGUCUUCCAAAAGCUGUUGGGCUGGAGCUCCUCGAUGCAUUGACCUCUGAGGGGGAUGGGACUAGCAGCCCAGUGGCAUCAGGCGAGCCUCAACUUAGGCCACCCUCCUGUGCUAGGCCAUGCGGGCUCUCCCCUCUGAGGACGGGCGGACGGCGCCCCUCAGCUUACGUUUAAAAGUUUUGUCUGGGAUUCAUUUCACCAUCUGAGGAAGAUUCUGGUCCAUGAAAGUUCAAACUGAAAUAAAAUUGUGGGUCUUUGAA